rnacentral:tRNA from 4 species
GCCGGGGUGGCGGAACAGGCAGACGCACAGGACUUAAAAUCCUGCGGUGGGUGACCACCGUGCGGGUUCGACCCCCGCCCUCGGCACCAUAU